rnacentral:rRNA from 1 species
AGGGUUUGAUUCUGGCUCAGGAUGAACGCUGGCGGCGUGCUUAACACAUGCAAGUCGAGCGAAGCACUUAUGAAAGAUUCUUCGGAUGAUUUCAUUUGUGACUGAGCGGCGGACGGGUGAGUAACGCGUGGGUAACCUGCCUCAUACAGGGGGAUAACAGUUGGAAACGACUGCUAAUACCGCAUAAGCGCACGGUGUCGCAUGACACAGUGUGAAAAACUCCGGUGGUAUGAGAUGGACCCGCGUCUGAUUAGCUGGUUGGUGGGGUAACGGCCUACCAAGGCGACGAUCAGUAGCCGACCUGAGAGGGUGAUCGGCCACAUUGGGACUGAGACACGGCCCAA